UACGGGGGGGGGCAAGCGCUGUUCGGAAUUACUGGGCGUAAAGGGCGCGUAGGCGGCCUGCUAAGUCGGAUGUGAAAUCCCUCGGCUCAACCGAGGAACUGCAUCCGAUACUGGCGGGCUUGAAUCCGGGAGAGGGAUGUGGAAUUCCAGGUGUAGCGGUGAAAUGCGUAGAUAUCCGGAGGAACACCGGUGGCGAAGGCGGCAUCCUGGACCGGUAUUGACGCUGAGGCGCGAAAGCUAGGGGAGCAAACGGG
rnacentral:rRNA from 1 species